rnacentral:rRNA from 1 species
UACAGAGGGUGCAAGCGUUGUUCGGAAUUACUGGGCGUAAAGGGCGCGUAGGCGGCCUGUUAAGUCGGACGUGAAAUCCCUGGGCUCAACCCAGGAACUGCGUCCGAUACUGGCAGGCUUGAAUCCGGGAGAGGGAUGUGGAAUUCCAGGUGUAGCGGUGAAAUGCGUAGAUAUCUGGAGGAACACCGGUGGCGAAGGCGGCAUCCUGGACCGGUAUUGACGCUGAGGCGCGAAAGCGUGGGGAGCGAACAGG